rnacentral:rRNA from 1 species
GACGUAGGGCGCGAGCGUUGUCCGGAUUUAUUGGGCGUAAAGAGCUCGUAGGCGGCUUGUUGCGUCGACUGUGAAAACCCGCGGCUUAACUGCGGGCUUGCAGUUGAUACGGGCAGGCUAGAGUUCGGUAGGGGAGACUGGAAUUCCUGGUGUAGCGGUGAAAUGCGCAGAUAUCAGGAGGAACACCGGUGGCGAAGGCGGCAUCCUGGACCGAUACUGACGCUGAGGAGCGAAAGCCAGGGGAGCAAACGGG